rnacentral:misc_RNA from 1 species
AUUGGGUUUGCUCGCUCACUCGAUGCGCUUACUACUAGAGCUAGAUGGGUUUCGCUUUUCUUCUGCAAGAGGAUCAAUGGGAAAAGGAAUUGAACUGGCUUAAAAUCUCAAAUAAAAGAGCUUAGGUUCUUUACCUUUGACCUAUCCCUCUCUUAUCCAUAGCUUGCCUGAAAGAAGACUGAUUUUGCUAAAGAACUAGCUUGCCCAUUGGCUGGGAGAUUAUCUAGCUAUUUAGACUAGGGGGAGAGCUG